GAGGAAUUUUGCGCAAUGGGGGCAACCCUGACGCAGCAACGCCGCGUGAGUGAUGAAGGCCUUCGGGUCGUAAAGCUCUGUCGAGUGGGAAGAAACAGUUCAGGAUAAUAACCUGAGCCUUGACGGUACCAUUAAAGGAAGCACCGGCUAACUCCGUGCCAGCAGCCGCGGUAAUACGGGGGGUGCAAGCGUUAUUCGGAAUUAUUGGGCGUAAAGGGUGCGUAGGCGGUUUUGUAAGUCAGAUGUGAAAUCCCGGGGCUUAACUUCGGAACUGCAUUUGAUACUGCAAGACUUGAGUAUGGGAGAGGAGAGCGGAAUUCCUGGUGUAGAGGUGAAAUUCGUAGAUAUCAGGAGGAACACCGGUGGCGAAGGCGGCUCUCUGGACCAAUACUGACGCUGAGGCACGAAGGCGUGGGGAGCAAAC
rnacentral:rRNA from 1 species